AGAUUGAACGCUGGCGGCAUGCCUUACACAUGCAAGCCGAACGGCAGCACGGGGGCAACCCUGGUGGCGAGUGGCGAACGGGUGAGUAAUGCAUCGGAACGUGCCCAGUAGUGGGGGAUAACUAGUCGAAAGAUUAGCUAAUACCGCAUACGACCUAUGGGUGAAAGCGGGGGGUUCGCAAGAACCUCGCGCUAUCGGAGCGGCCGAUGUCU
rnacentral:rRNA from 1 species